AAAGGAAUAGACGGGGACCCGCACAAGCAGCGGAGCAUGUGGUUUAAUUCGAAGCAACGCGAAGAACCUUACCAGGGCUUGACAUGCCGCUGACCGGUGUAGAGAUACACCUUUUCCUUCGGGGACAGCGGACACAGGUGGUGCAUGGUUGUCGUCAGCUCGUGUCGUGAGAUGUUGGGUUAAGUCCCGCAACGAGCGCAACCCUUGUCAUUAGUUGCCAUCAUUAAGUUGGGCACUCUAAAGAGACUGCCGAUGAUAAAUCGGAGGAAGGUGGGGAUGACGUCAAAUCAUCAUGCCCUUUAUGUCCUGGGCUACACACGUGCUACAAUGGUCGGUACAACGAGAAGCAACCUAGCGAUAGGGAGCAAAUCUCUAAAAGCCGAUCCCAGUUCGGAUUGCAGGCUGCAACUCGCCUGCAUGAAGUCGGAGUUGCUAGUAAUCGCGAAUCAGAAUGUCGCGGUGAAUGCGUUCCCGGGUCUUGUACACACCGCCCGU
rnacentral:rRNA from 1 species